UUGAAGGGAAACAGAGGACCAGAUGGACAUAACGGCAAAGCAGGACCCAGAGGGAACAAGGGCCGGACUGGGCAGAGGGGCCACGCUGGCCAACCGGGUCCAUCGGGUUUGCCGGGGCCACCUGGACCAGAGGGAGCUGAAGGAAAGCC